GAACAGGUAAGCUAAUUUGAAGCUAUUGGGCUCAUAACCCAACAAUGGAGUAUAUCCCCUAUUCA
rnacentral:tRNA from 1 species